ensembl:lncRNA
GGGUGCUGGGAGCCGUGAUGUCUCCGGGCAGGGGUGGCCCGUGGCUGAGGGCAGCGACAUGGAGACAGACAGCAGUGUCCCUGUCCAGACAAACCAGCCUGGGCCUGUUUGAAGAGUCCGGGUUCAGAGCAGGGCAGAGGAAGCAUGGGGUGCAGAGGGGAUGGGCUUUAGGUCCUGCUAGCGAGAGCCCCAAACUCGCCUGGUGUCGGCCUCCCCAGGAGGGAGCCCGCCCUCCUCCCAGUCACUCUGGGACUGCAGGAGGAGAAGGGCGCCGCUACUGCCCUAAACUGCGUUCACCUGGCCCUGGCCCCAGCCCUGGGCCUCUCGGUUCCAGGUGCAGCCCUCAGAACACCUCCUUCGUUCCUCCCCAGCUCCGCUGCCUCUGCUGUCAGGCUCCCUGGGCUGCAUCAUCGCUUCUUUCAGCACCGUCAGCUUUAUGACUUUGGGUUUUACUUGACUCUCUGAACCACAGUCUCUUCCCUAAAACAGACCCUUCCAGAAGCUGUCCACGGGCUGUCGUGACACCUGAGAAGGAAUUUAGAAAAGGGUUGGCAGCCCAGGACUGCCCAGCGGGUCCCUGCCGCCUGCAGGAUGGGACCUUGUACUUGGGGCGCUAGGUGGUUGACAGGUGUGGUUUUCCGUCAGUCCUGGCCCCCUUUCCCUGCGGCGUGCACUCGUGUGACGAGUGUGAGCCGAGUGUGAAGCCACUUGGAAGGGAGGCUCUCGGAGCGCUCCAGGGAGCCCCCAGUGUGGCGCCUGGCCCUGCAGUUGGCGCGCUGUGUCCGGGUCUCGUCCUGACCCACCGUGGGAAGGAUGCCGGCCGGGCAUGGGCCCCUCGGACAGACAGUGCUGGGGCAGUGUUCUUAGUACUGGCAGAGGACUCUCAUCUUGAACUGAAAAGAAUUCCUCUCCUCUCACGCUGCCCAGCUCCCCUAAGCCCCACCCUGUGAUGAGCAGUUGUGAUUUGAGAACGUCCAGCCACAGUGUUUCCUGUCGCCAAUAUGCUGUAGUCGUGACCCAGCAGGGGUGGCUGGCAGUGUGCGCUGUGUGUGCUGGUCCCCUAAAUGGCAGCAGCGACCCCAAGCUUUCAGAGGGGAGGAGAGGGCCAGAGCCCAUUUUCUGACUGACUUACAGUGCCUAUACCCGUGGAUAAUUUAGCUGCUAGGAUCCACAGUUCAGACCCCUUCUCCUGUCGCAAAACUCAAAUCCGUCUGGUUCCAGAGCUGCCCCCAGCAAAGAAACACUUAUGGAGGUUAAAUCUUGCUGUACCAUGUUUCAUUGCAGUGCUAUUUACCACGUAACAGGGCCUGCAGUGAGUGAAAUUCACGUGCUGUCUAUCCACACAAGAUUAAUGUGAAGGAGUGAGACCAGGCACUCCCUUCUGUGUGAGGGCGUGUGGUGUGAUUUGAGAGGUGCAGGCUUGGCUUGGGUUGGAGGGGGUAGGAAGCCCAUGCUGGGUCUGCCUUAUAGAGGAAGCCACCAAAUCUCUGGAUCCCCGGGGCCUGUGAGAGUCCCAGGGCCCACUGGUGAGAGAGAAGGGCCGCCGAGGAGGGCAUGAGGAGAUUGUGAUCAGCUGGCCUGCAGCUUUUCCUGGGCCUCUGAGAUGUCGGCGAGAAACCGAGCAGGGUGAGGAAAUGUUCAGAAAGGACAAGGUGGCAUGCAUACUCGUGCGCCUGCCCUGGCUCUGCGCAGGCGACAGUUUAAACUGGCGCUACAGGAAGAUUCGUGAGAACUCCUCACUGGGGAGGACACUUGUGUUCUUGUUCACUCUGGCUGGCGAAGCUGAACAAGUACACAGAGGACACACACACACGCAGGUGCACAGAGCCCCUCCACACCCAGACACCACACACGAACGCGCACACACACUUUGCCAUUGUAAGAGCAGUGCACAGAGCACACUGGUGUGAUCCUGCUGUGAAGAGGACACCCGUGCUCAGAGAGGUCAGCAUGCUCAGGAUCACAGCGAGAAGCUAGUGGAGUCAGGACGCAAACUCAGAUCCGUCUGGUUCCAGAGCUUUCUAAAGUAUGUUUGUCUGGGGAAGAAUCAGCCCCACAUGGGCCUGGAAAGAGGCGUGGGGUGAAGGAAUGUUUUACAAUACGCUUGGGGGCGCUGCGCUUGUGCACACCUGUAAUCCCAGCUACUCAGAGGCUGAAACAGGACUGAAAGUUCAAGGCCAGGCUGGGCAACUUGGCAAGACCCCCGUCUCAGAAUGAAAAUGCCCGGAUGUAGCUCUGGCAGAGCACCUGCCUAGCUCAUGUGGGGCCUGGCUUCAGUUCCCAGUACCACCGAAGAGCUGUGCCCUGGGACAGUCCAACUGCUUUUCUGUUGCAGGGGAGUAGGGUUGUGUCCUGCUGUGUGCGUGCAUGUGUGUGUGCGUGUGAGGAGAAUUUAGUCAGAAUAGGAAAGAAUUCCAAAUCCGUAUCUGUUACCUAAAAUGCCUACCCCUGCCAGUCCAAAGCAGACCACUCAGGACCCUCAGAAUCUGCGAAAGGACAUGCCCCAGGAGGAAUGCCCCUCUCCUCCCAAGCCUGGGGAGGAAGCAUCCCAGUGGGCUGCAAGCUGCGAAGUCAGAGCCUGAGGAGGAUCUGAGGGCCACUUCCCAAGGCGGCACAACCUCGCCGGCCAGUGGGGGAAGAGGCUGGCGGGGCUGGCGUCAGAGGGUGCAGAAGGCUGUGUUGCUGCUUUUAUACAAUAAAAGAGGAUCGUUGUAAUUGGGAACCUUUGAAUCAUAACACGUCUGCCUGCGGCUCCCUCCAGCUGCAGAGCCAGUUAGUUAAAUAGCACACAGGAAACUCCUUUCAGCUGAUAUUACGUUCCCGCUGAUCUGAAAGCACGCGCCUGGGCUGAACUGCUCUAACGACAGCCGUCUCGGCCCCCAGCCCCUGGUGUGCCCAGCGUCCCCAGGGCUCCCAGGGGCCUGUGGGAUGGCGUUUGGAAGUCAUUUUCAUUUGCCUGCACCCCCUGUCUUCCCAGAAACAAAUUCUCUAAGAUAUUCACACACUGCCUAGUCAGAGCUGGAGGUCUUCAUCGAGCUGUGAGAGGCGGGGGUAACCUGGAGGGUGAACAGGGAGGCGGGAUGCCGGCCCUGGCAGGCUCAGUGUGUCCUUGCUGGCUUUGCUGGUGGAGGAAUAUGGACUGACAGCUGCAGCUGGACAGGCACUGACUCUGUGAACAAGACUGCAGGGGCAGGGACGGGGUUCCAGGUGAGAGUGGACUGAGGUGGGCUCUCACCCAGCGCCUUCCACUGGAGACUGCCGCCUUUCAUUACCUGUAGAACUGAUUGAUUCCCAUAGCCCAGGAGAACUUGAACAGCUCCAAUUGUUUCCAAGAGCCCGGGCUCUGCACAUAACAGAGCCAGGUUCCUGGGCAGGUUGGUGGAGACAUCCAGAGGAUCAAGGCUGUGCUUGAUAGGAACAGUUGGAGUCCGACUUGCACACUCACUGGUAGGGCAUGGCGGGGGUCUAUUAGCAAAUGGUGCGCUAGUAGGGUCUCGGAAUGCUCUACCUGGCAGAGACUUUAGGGAUCCCCUAGUCCAGCUGGGAAAAGCCGAGGCCCAGAAAGCCAUGGAAUCGGCUGGUGUAUGACUUCUGCUGUCCCAUGUGAGAACUUAGGGCCUUUCUGCUGCCCGGCACAGUGCCUUCCCCUCCCUACACUGGUUCUCUGUCCAGCCAGCGCCGCAAGCACCUGCAAGCACCAGCGGCUGCCGCCCUCAGGAGGCCACGGUCACCACCUCACACAGAACUCUGGCCACGCACCUCCCCACCCCACAGCACUUCUGGCUUUUCGUGGGUGUGCUCGUGGGAACCCUUGGAGACCUGGGGUGCUGCUGUCUGUUUGGUAGUGAGGCACAAAGCAGGCGACCCUUGUGCGAGGGUCCCAGAAGCCGACCAGUCCCGUACUGCAGCAGGAGCUCCUAGGCCUGGGCUCUGGCAGCCUCUCCUGCCCUCUUCUGUGGGUUCGAACCUGUGGCCGGGCCACAGCCAGGCUGAGGACAGCAGCAGGCCAGAGGUGUGCGCGGGGCUGGCCACAGGCCUCCCUCUGUGGCUUUUUCCAGUUUAUAGACUGCUCCAAAUACUGAUGGGUCACAAGCCACGUCGCCUGCACAGCAUUGCUAACGAGCAGGUGGGACGCAGGGCAGAAGAACUGCAGCGUGGAGCUUUGGAGUCCAACACCUGAGAAGUUUCAUCCACAUCAGGCAUGGCGUUUGCAGCGGCUGCUACAGCCAGAAACAGCGGACAGGAGAUGGGCUCGGGCAUGUCAUUGAGGGACACAGGUCACCGGGAACAGCCAGUCCCGUUCCCCAUCUCCCUGAAACACAGGGGCGUGGGCACCUGUUGGGAGAGCUGGUGCUUACCAAGCACACUGAGCACCGGGCGUGACAUCGGCCGUCCCGGGUGGCAGUGCCUGAGGUGUUGGCCUCAGUCUUGCUUUCUAAAACAGCUUUACCAAGACACAACUUGCCCUAAAAUCCACCCACUUCGACCAUAUAGCCAUCGAUAUUUAUUAUCUUUACAGAAUUAUGCGAGCACUUACCACAAUGUAAUUUUAGAACAUUUCCGUCAUCCCCCAGCAGACCCUGUGUGCCCAUGAGCAGCAGCUCCAGCCCUAACUCCUCCCCCUGCUCUGGCCUGGUGAGCCCAUUACUCUCCCCUUCUGUAGAUUUGCCCAUGGCCUUUUGUGUCCGGCCUGGCGCACUUGGCACAAAGCUUGCUCAGGUCCUCGGUGUUGUAGCACAUGGCAGUAUUUCAUUUCUUCUUAUCUAUGUGUAGCCCCCCCGGGGCAGAUGGACCACAUUUUGUUAUCCACUUGCUAGUUGAUGAGCAGUGGACUGCUUCUGAGCAUAAGAUGAUACUUUGCAAACAUUUGCAGGUGAGUUUUUGUAAUACACAUUUUCAUUUCUCUUGGCUACCUAGAGCCGCACAGGAAUUCCCAAGAGAGGAGGUGCUGGGUCCUAUGGCCACUCUGUGUUUAACUUUUUGAAAGCUGCCAGACUGUCCGCCACUCACCCGAAGGGUCUCACAUCCCCACUGGCAGCAUCCGCGCAUUCUGGUUUCUCCACAUCUUUGCCAGCCCUCCACAUUGUCAUUAGCCCCAUUUUAUAGCUGAGAAAACUGGGACUCAGAGAAAGGAGGGUCACCUGCUAGAGAGGAAAGAGGGGACUCACACACCAGGCUGGCCAGGGCCACCCAGGACAGGGACCGGGCAGAGCAAAUGCAGUACCCAGUGUGCCAAAUCCGAGGCAGCCCCUCACCUCGGGGCCGGGAAGGCGCGGGGUCUGCGUGUGUGCGAACACCGUGGCUUCUGAGUGCAGAGACUGCUGCCUCACCUCACCCUUGUCCCAGCCCUGUCCCGCCCAGCACAAGCACAGGGACAACCACGAAGAACCCUUGCCUGGGAGCAACUCCCUGCUACGGCCACUGGAAUUCAGGGGCCUCUCCGUGUGGGCUGCUGAGCCCCAUGCUUGCCCCAGUGGUGCCCUAGAGAGGCGGGCUGGCAUGGCUGUGCUGCUGACGCAUCUCUGUCCUAUGUGCUGAGUCACUGCAGCGUGGGCCGCCCCAUGCCCUGUCUGACUAGGAGCCAGUCCCUAUGCCACGGAAGAAGGGGCCAUGUCCCAAUGGCUGGGACGAAGGACAUUGACCAUCCAGGCUCUGCUCUGACCCAGGACCUGCCUGGGAGUCCUGGUCCCGAAGAGCCCACCGCAUGGGCUUCCCUGCUGGGCUGAGACACCCCGUGUCUGACUCCACCUCGUCCAAAGCCAGAGUACAGUGCCAGGCUUCCCAAGCAGGAGAAAACUCCUAUUUGGUCACAUUUGUGGGGCCACAGCGAGCCAGGGAGGGGUAGCCUCGGGUCCAUUCUGCAGGAGGGACAGUCUUCCAGCUCACUACCCUUGCUUGUAACCAGCCAGCCUGCUGGUGUUUCCAGGGGAGGCAGCCAGUGGAGCACCAAUUGACCUGUGGGAGGGGAGCUGCCAGUCAGCCUUGGGGUCACUGGAUGAGGAAGAGAUAUGUGGCUGCCAACCUCAGCUACGACAAAUGCUCAAAGGCCCCUCGGACUCUGCACAGGCAGUGGCUGGGCAGACUUGCUCCUUAGCAACAGGAGCCCGGGGUCCUGCCUCUGGGCAAGGCAGAGCUACAGGACCAAAGGCGCCCAGCCCUCCUGCUGUGUGCAUGCCUGGCAUCCACCCGUGGAGACAGUCUGUGUGUAGGGGUCGCCCUGGGCUGUCCACCAGUGUAGGCGUGCGUGGUGUCGCAUGUCGAGACCCUGAGUUGCUGAACUCUGGGCUUUGCCCUUUGAUUCCCAUAUUCCCACCCCUCCCCCAGCACCUAGCCUUGGCUGAGUCGUUGCUCAAUAAAUCGUUGUUGAACCAAUAAGUGGAAUUGAACACGAGCCCGGCCUGUGUCCUACAUGUGUGGGAAUAGGAGGAUGACAUAAUGCAGGGCCCACUGCACAAAAGUGAAUAGAAACUUCCAGAAUUGGUUUUUUGCAUCUAUUUUUUCCCAAGUAAGAGAAAAGGAGAAAAUCUCACGGGAAGGAGCACACGUUGUGUCACCCAUCACCGGUCCCUCCCUUCUCAGCUGCCCUGACAUGUGGCUCACCAGCCUCCCCAAGCCUCUGCCUCUGCCCAGUACUUACCAACCCAGAUGCUCCCAGGGGCUUUGCAGGGAGCAUGAAGACUGGAGGGCUGAAAUGUGGAGCCGUAACAAGGAGCAGCGGGGGAGUGGAUCAAAGAGGGAUGCAUAUGCCCCAUCUGAAUGUAUUAAAGUGUUUCAGUGAGCUCUCCGUGCACAGGCAAACUGCCAGAUUGUGGCUGCUGACUUUGGGAUCAAGUCCACGGUCCUGGCUCCAGCAUGGAGGCUGCCUGGGAGCCAACCUCUUCUACAAAGCGUAUUUUGCUGUGACUGCUUCCGCCUCUGCCGCCUACUCCGCCCUUCAGUCAGACCACACGGGCCCCUAAGCCUGAGACAUCAUCCUCUCAGCCCUCCCUUCCUUCCCACACGUAAGUUGUCCCCAGAAGACCUCCCCUCAGCUCAGCAAGCCUGCUUGUUCCUGGUGUAGAGAUACUUCAUCCCUCCUCCAAGAGGCAGGAGUGCCGAGGGAAACUGUUGGCUUGCAGAUUCUAAUAGGUUUGCACAUCAGUCUCCUGACAAAACUCUGAGCCACCUUCCAGCCCAAGGACAGUUUCCUAUUUGUCUCCGUGCUCCCAGCACCAGCACAGGACUGGCCCCUUGCAAGUUCACAAAGCCUCUGCAUUUCCGUGGGUGCCCACAGGUGUGGAAUGAGUUGCUGCUCGCUGCUGCCCCUGGUGGCAGGUCCUUGCCACAUCCUGGAGGAUGGACAUGGGACCAUCUAACCAGAAGCAGUCAUGGCAGCUUCCAGCCCGGGAAGCUUUGUGCAGCCUGUCUGCCAACCGCCUGCCUGUCUGGCUCGUGCACUGCAUUGCCUGGACAUGGAAUCUGGGUACCACCUGGAUCCACUUCCUUCUCUUUUGGCUUAGCCGUGACCUUUUCUUUGCGGUCAGGAGCUGCUUGGCCACCUGGAUGGACACAGCUAUAUCACAGGUGAUCACACUAGGUCUCUCUCCGGCUUGCAGUCUCAACUUUGUUCAACAGAGCCUGAACUUGAGGCCAACUCUACUUUAAAAGGUGGGGAGGGGCUCGCUGCCUUCCGGAGUUGAGAGCUUUGCAUAGGAAAGAUCGCAGGACUCGGAAUGAGCAGCAGAAGCAUCAUUUUCUUCCCUGCGAAGGGGUUUCUUGGCACAAGUGCAGCUUCUCAUCCUUGUCCCCUGCCAGUCUGUCACCACUUCACCCUUUUAGGGGAAAGAAAAGAAAACACCUGAACAGGAGAGCAGACGAAGAAACCCAGCAGAGUCCCUGGCUGAGACACAGGAUGCAGGGAUGAUGAACCGCACUGUCCCAGUGGCUUCUCAGACAAAGGCUGACAUCUUUCUCCUUCGAGUCCCCUGGAAGACAACAGCUCUCAAGGUAGCUGUCUUCCAAAUUGUAGCUUGGGGACUGGGGCUGCUGACGUUUGCCGCUGCGUCGUUUGAAACCGUUGGUUCGGAGCCUGCUAGGGCAGAGGAGGGGAGGAGUGGACACACACUGUGUAAAGGCCAAGUCUGUCCUGCCCCAGGGAGCUGGCACAUGGGAGCACAGCACAUCCAGGGGCCGCCAGGAUUUCUGUCCCACCAAGGUCCACCUCCACCUUGUUCUCCUCUCCAUUCAGUGAGGCAAGAGG